rnacentral:rRNA from 1 species
CCGGACCGGCGCACGGGUGAGUAACACGUAUGCAACCUGCCCUCUUCAGGGGGACAACCUUCCGAAAGGGAGGCUAAUCCCGCGUAUAUCGGUUUCGGGCAUCCGAGAUCGAGGAAAGAUUCAUCGGAAGAGGAUGGGCAUGCGGCGCAUUAGCUAGACGGCGGGGUAACGGCCCACCGUGGCGACGAUGCGUAGGGGUUCUGAGAGGAAGGUCCCCCACACUGGUACUGAGACACGGACCAGACUCCUACGGAAGGCAGCAG